rnacentral:lncRNA from 1 species
GUGCUCUUGCGAUCUGCUCGUUAUAGUCUGUGUGGCAAGCCAAAGAUGUAAUGGGAGGGAAAGUUUGCUUGGGCAUGAGAAGUUCAUGGGAGAUGGAAGCCAGAUCAAAAAAAGUUUUUCUGAAACCCCUUCUCGAUGGUCUGCAUCAAUUAUGCUACACAGAUAGCCUUGUACUGAAGCUGAACUUUGUAUACAUACACACAAAUGCAAGCUGUUGUGAUAAUCAGUGUGUGGCAGAAAGCUGGUUUUUCUUUUUUUUUUUUUGCAUUCUGAACAAGAUUUUCUAUUUCAUUUAAAUUUUAAGUGAAAUCCAUUCCCUCCCCCUCCCAUCCUUCUCUUAUGAGGAUAGUUUAGUGAACUUCAGUCACUCCAGGCCGUUUCUGCUUUGUGUGAGUGGUGAGAGAAUAAACUGAAAGCA